GGAUCUGUAGCACAAUGGAUAGCCCUUUGGACUUCAUGGCAAGCUGAAGGUGGUGGGUUCGAGUCCCACCAGAGUUG